UUUGUACCCUCAAGCUUUGCUUGGUGUUGGGUGUUUGUCCUCUCUGUAUGUUUGGACUCGCCUUAAAGUCAUUGGCAGCCGGCGUAUUGGCCUUGGGAGCGCAGCACAUUUUGCGCUUCUGGUCCUUUUUACACUGGCAUCCAUCAAGCCUAUUUAUCACUUUUGACCUCGGAUCAGGUAGGGAUACCCGCUGAACUUAA
rnacentral:misc_RNA from 1 species